rnacentral:lncRNA from 1 species
GAGACCUCCCAGGGAGGAGGACAGGGAGGGGGAAGGCACCAGUAGGGAGGGGGUGACACUGUCCCCGCUGUCCCCACAGCUCCGAGAGCACCCGCUCGUACCGGCGCAUCGGCGGAGGGGUGGGCAAGGCAGGGCCGGCCGUGUCCCCCCAGAGCCCUGCUGGCCCCGAGGACCCCGCUCUCAGCAAGGUGCCCCCUGUGCCCAUGCCCAGGAGAUUUGCUCCGGUAGGUGCCAUGACUUGGGGGGGUGUCACCCUCUGCAUCCCCGAGCAUCCCUGCUCUCCUUAUCCUGGGGCUGCAGAGAGGGAAGGAUCAGGGGUGUCACAUCCCUGCACCCCUCUUGGGAGCGACUUUGGGGGGUCUUUAACCCACUUUCCACCCCGUUUUAGGCCAAGGGGAGGCAGAAGCGGGUGAAGGCGGUGGCUGACUGCAAGGGGGACAAGGCCCGGGAGCUGACCUUCUCCAAGGGGGAGGUGAUCGUGGUGACACGGGAGGAAGAUGAGCAGAGCUGGGUCGGCUUCAUCGAGGGUGACGGCUCCCGCACCGGAGUCUUCCCCGCCAGCUUCGUCCACCUCUUGCAAGACUGACCGGGCAAGGACCAGAGGCAGCUCCCUGCUGGGGGCUCAGCAGAGCCAGGACCACGAGGGACACAUGCCCAGGACCCUGGCAUGGGACCACUGCCCUCCAAGGGGGCUCAGAGACCACCCACUGGGAAACCCGUCCAUGGAGGGCAGCGCUGGGGAGCUGAGGGGCAGAGAAUGGACACGCUCGCUGCAUUGGUGGGCUGAGGUUUCUGUGCCAGCCCCUGCUCCUGCUGCUCUCUCAUCCUUCCCAGGGGCUCUGCUCAUCCCUAGGGAUUUCUUCUCCCUUCCUCUGCAAGGACUUGGGGAUGGGGGAGCUCCACCUUCUGCCAAGUAGUCAUGGAGCCCCCUCCCCAGCCGGGGGGGAGCAGGGCUGGGGGGCAGCCGUUUCCCCCCAGCCUCCUUCUGUACCCCAACUGUGAAACCUUUGGGAUGGGCAAGAAGUAGGAGAGGGCUCUUGCCCUUGCCUGGCUGGGCUGGAGGGUCUCCACCCCAGACUUGGAGCUGCCUGGGCUGGUGGGGCUUGGGGAUGCUCCAAAGCUUCCCCAAAACUCUAGUGAAAUGCCAUUCCCUGAUUUUGGGGGGGUAGGAGUUGAGGUGGCACCACAGAGCCCCUGCCCCGUGUCCCUCCCCUGGGGUGGGUGCUGGAUCACCGCCCCAGCCUUGGGGGCCUCUCCAAGGGAGUUUUUGCAUUAUUUUUCUGGGACCAACAUCCCCUUGUGCCAGUGUCCCUUGGGACCCACCUGCCUCUGUACCCCCCCCAAUUUACCCUCUCCCCCUUCUCAUUCCUGUGUCAAAUUUUUCAUCUCAAAAAACAGUCUUUUUUUUUUAAUGUUUUCUGUCUCUGAUUUCUAAUAAACCAUCGUUUUUGUAAGGACCUGUGCUUGGG